AUUGAACGCUGGCGGCAUGCCUUACACAUGCAAGUCGAACGGCAGCACGGGUGCUUGCACCUGGUGGCGAGUGGCGAACGGGUGAGUAAUACAUCGGAACAUGUCCUGUAGUGGGGGAUAGCCCGGCGAAAGCCGGAUUAAUACCGCAUACGAUCUACGGAUGAAAGCGGGGGACCUUCGGGCCUCGCGCUAUAGGGUUGGCCGAUGGCUGAUUAGCUAGUUGGUGGGGUAAAGGCCUACCAAGGCGACGAUCAGUAGCUGGUCUGAGAGGACGACCAGCCACGCUGGGACUGAGACACGGCCCAGACUCCUACGGGAGGCAGCAGUGGGGAAUUUUGGACAAUGGGCGAAAGCCUGAUCCAGCAAUGCCGCGUGUGUGAAGAAGGCCUUCGGGUUGUAAAGCACUUUUGUCCGGAAAGAAAUCCUUGGCCCUAAUACGGUCGGGGGAGGACGGUACCGGAAGAAUAAGCACCGGCUAACUACGU
rnacentral:rRNA from 1 species